AGGGUUUGAUUAUGGCUCAGGACGAACGCUGGCGGCGUGCCUAACACAUGCAAGUCGAACGGACUUAGAGGUGCUUGCACCUCGAAAGUUAGUGGCGGACGGGUGAGUAACGCGUGAGUAACCUGCCUUACAGAGGGGGAUAACGUCUGGAAACGGACGCUAAUACCGCAUAACAUAUUGAUAUGGCAUCAUGUUGAUAUCAAAGGGAAUAACCGCUGUAAGAUGGACUCGCGUCUGAUUAGCUAGUUGGUAAGGUAACGGCUUACCAAGGCGACGAUCAGUAGCCGAACUGAGAGGUUGAUCGGCCACAUUGGGACUGAGACACGGCCCAG
rnacentral:rRNA from 1 species